UACGUAGGGUGCGAGCGUUAAUCGGAAUUAUUGGGCGUAAAGGGCGCGUAGGCGGCCAUUCAAGUGACGGGUGAAAGCCCUCGGCUUAACCGAGGAACUGCCUGUCAGACUGGAUGGCUUGAGACCGGGAGAGGUGAGUGGAAUUCCCAGUGUAGCGGUGAAAUGCGUAGAUAUUGGGAGGAACACCAGUGGCGAAGGCGGCUCACUGGACCGGAACUGACGCUGAGGAGCGAAAGCGUGGGUAGCAAACAGG
rnacentral:rRNA from 1 species